UUGCAUAAUUUGUAUGCAAUUUAAUUUCAGAAGAUAGGAUGUUCAUCGAAGUCGAUUUAUACAGACAUAUAUUCGUUAUUGAAGUGCUACUUACGGAGUGUGCUGUAUUUACCCGUAAAUGUGUCAUUAAAGUUGUGACGCAUUAACCAGUUCAAACCUUCGAAACAGCGUCAAUUGCAAUGAGAAAUCAAUGUACUUGUAUCAGUUAUGAUAUUUUGUUUCUAAUAAAAUUGUGUUUAAGCGAAUUAGGAAACCACGGCUCAGUUGCUCCGUUAAAAACAGGAAUCGUUUCGUCUUCGUACUGAUGUUAAAAAUCAAUGAAUUUUUCAUAAAUCUGCCUGCUUUCGUCGUUAAUUGUCACGUGAAUCCACAGGACAUGAAGUACUGGGUAAUGGAGAACCCUGACAUUUUGUGCCAACAAGGACUCCAAGAUAUAUAUCCAAAUCUAACAACUUGUGAUUUUUUUCCCACGGGGACACUUGAAGAGCAAGGUCUGCGAAACAAAUUCAUGCGCAACACAGGAACUGAAGAACAUCAUCAGACAUGAAGAAGUUGCCGCCAUCAGUAUUGAAAUUUUAUGCCGAGUGUAUGAGAAUAUGCUUAGAUAUGCACAGCUGUUUAUUGAUGUUGCAGUGGUCACUUUCAGCAUCUUCUAUAAAUGUAUUUUUUGCUGUAAUUAAAUGAUUUGCCGCUGGAUUGAGCAUUUCUUGGUAGGAACAAUGCAGCAUGUUUGCGUGAUGGAGAGUCAUCAAGAGAUGUAAGGUAACUUAAUAAAAGAAAUGUGUUUCGACCCUUGCUAUUCAUGUUGUACCUUAGUAACCUUCCAGACAAUAUUAAUAGUAA